UGCCAGCCGCCGCGGUAAUACGUAGGAUCCAAGCGUUGUCCGGAUUUACUGGGUAUAAAGGGUGCGCAGGCGGGCAUAUACGUCAGGGGUUAAAUCCACCGGCUCAACCGGUGACCUGCCCUUGAUACGGUAUGUCUUGAGUGCGAGAGAGGAUGGUAGAAUUCCUGGUGUAGCGGUGAAAUGCGUAGAUAUCAGGAGGAAUACCAGUGGCGAAGGCGGCCAUCUGGCUCGCAACUGACGCUCAGGCACGAAAGCGUGGGGAGCAAACAGGAUUAGAUA
rnacentral:rRNA from 1 species